rnacentral:rRNA from 1 species
GAUGAACGCUGGCGGCGUGCCUAAUACAUGCAAGUCGAGCGAACGGACGAGAAGCUUGCUUCUCUGAUGUUAGCGGCGGACGGGUGAGUAACACGUGGAUAACCUACCUAUAAGACUGGGAUAACUUCGGGAAACCGGAGCUAAUACCGGAUGAUAUUUUGAACCGCAUGGUUCAAAAGUGAAAGACGGUCUUGCUGUCACUUAUAGAUGGAUCCGCGCUGCAUUAGCUAGUUGGCAAGGUAACGGCUUACCAAGGCAACGAUGCAUAGCCGACCUGAGAGGGUGAUCGGCCACACUGGAACUGAGACACGGUCCAGACUCCUACGGGAGGCAGCAGUAGGGAAUCUUCCGCAAUGGGCGAAAGCCUGACGGAGCAACGCCGCGUGAGUGAUGAAGGUCUUCGGAUCGUAAAACUCUGCUAUUAGGGAAGAACAUAUGUGUAAGUAACUGUGCACAUCUUGACGGUACCUAAUCAGAAAGCCACGGCUAACUACGUG